CCUCUCUGGGCUUUCUCUUCAGAGUGCCUUCCUGGGCUUUCUCUUCAGAGUACCUUCCUGGGCUUUCUCUUCAGAGUACCUUCCUGGGCGAAAGAUAAAUAUUCUCCACAAAACACAAAUGCCAUUAAAGGUUAUGGAAACAGUUAAAUUGGUAAUGUGCUACAUUUAACGUUGUUUUGAAAAUGCCACAAAAGGGUGUCAGAGUUUAUUAAGGGCAUCAGAGUUUAGGAGGUUCAGGGUGUCAGAGUUUAGGUGGUUCAGGGUGUCAGAGUUUAGGUGGUUAAGGGUAUCAGAGUUUAGGUGGUUCAGGGUGUCAGAGUUUAUUAAGGGUGUCAGAGUUUAGGUGGUUCGGGGUAUCAGAGUUUAGGUGGUUCAGGGUGUCAGAGUUUAGGUGGUUCAGAGUGUCAGAGUUUAGGUGGUUAAGGGUGUCAGAGUUUAGGGGGUUAAGGGUGUCAGAGUUUAGGUGGUUCAGGGUGUCAGAGUUUAGGUGGUUCAGGGUGUCAGAGUUUAGGUGGUUCAGGGUGUCAGAGUUUAGGUGGUUCAGGGUAUCAGUGUUUAGGUGGUUAAGGGUGUCAGAGUUUAUUAAGGGCAUCAGAGUUUAGGAGGUUAAGGGUGUCAGAGUUUAGGGGGUUAAGGGUGUCAGAGUUUAGGUGGUUAAGGGUAUCAGUGUUUAGGUGGUUAAGGGGUAUCAGAGUUUAGGUGGUUAAGGGUGUCAGAGUUU
rnacentral:lncRNA from 1 species